rnacentral:rRNA from 1 species
GAUGAACGCUAGCUACAGGCUUAACACAUGCAAGUCGAGGGGAAACGAUGAGAGAGCUUGCUCUCUUAGUCGUCGACCGGCGCACGGGUGAGUAACGCGUAUCCAACCUGCCUCUGACCAAGGGAUAACCCGUCGAAAGUCGGAAUAAUACCUUAUGCAGUCGUCGGAAGUCAUCUGAUGACGACGAAAGAUUUCAUCGGUGAGAGAUGGGGAUGCGUCUGAUUAGCUUGUUGGCGGGGUAACGGCCCACCAAGGCGACGAUCAGUAGGGGUUGUGAGAGGAAGGUCCCCGGCAUUGGGACUGGGACACGGUCCAAACUCCUACGGGAGGCAGCAGUGAGGAAUAAUGGUCAAUAGGCGUAAGCCUGAAACAGCCAAGGAGCGUGGAGGAUGACGGCCUUAUGGGUUGUAAACUGCUUUUAUGCGGGGAUAAAGUGAGGGACGUGUCCUUCAUGGCGGGAACCGCAUGAAUAAGGACCGGUUAAUUCCGU